rnacentral:sRNA from 1 species
GUCGGGUUCGGGAUGAAGUGGUUGACCACGCCGCCCAUGACGGCGAAGGUGCGUUUGCCCUCGGUGAGCAUCUGCACGCCGCGGCGCUUGAACUCCUU